AUUGAACGCUGGCGGAAUGCUUUACACAUGCAAGUCGAACGGUAGAGGGGGCAACCCCUCGAGAGUGGCGAACGGGUGAGUAAUAUAUCGGAACGUGCCCAGUCGUGGGGGAUAACGUAGCGAAAGCUACGCUAAUACCGCAUACGAUCUAAGGAUGAAAGCGGGGGAUCGCAAGACCUCGCGCGAUUGGAGCGGCCGAUGGCAGAUUAGGUAGUUGGUAGGGUAAAGGCCUACCAAGCCGACGAUCUGUAGCUGGGCUGAGAGGAUGAUCAGCAACACUGGGACUGAGACACGGCCCAGACUCCUACGGGAGGCAGCAGUGGGGAAUUUUGGACAAUGGACGCAAGUCUGAUCCAGCCAUUCCGCGUGCAGGAUGAAGGCCCUCGGGUUGUAAACUGCUUUUGUACAGAACGAAAAGGCUCUGGUUAAUACCUAGGGCUCAUGACGGUACUGUAAGAAUAAGCACCGGCUAACUACGUGCCAGCCGCCGCAGUAA
rnacentral:rRNA from 1 species